GUUGCUCCAUGAAACUUGGCCCACCGAGUCCAGCCCAAACUGGCGCCUACGGCAGCGUCACUCGGUCGCACCGAACCAAACACGACCAACCCAGAUUGGGCGGGCGAUUACUACCCCGAUUCCCAACCUAGCGGCGGCGGCGGCGCUUCCACGUGCGGUGGCCGCCGUCUCCCUCGGUCCACCUCCCAUCCGGCCAGCCCUCUCCUCACUCCCUCCCCCCGGCCUCCGGCCUUCGCCGCCCUCCCUGCCGCCAAGGCCAGGGGCAAGUCCGCCUCUGCCCUCCGGUCUCCCUGGCUCGGCUCGCCCUGUAGGGCUGUAGGCGCCCACCACGGCACGUCUCGACCUCCGGCAGUCCAGCCUCCGUGGCUCCGUCGAAGGUAUUUCCCCCUCUGUUUUUAAACAUAUCUGAAGAAUAUUUUUGUGAAUGGCAUUGCCUGUGAUUGCUAGAAAGUAGAAGACAGUCACUGAUUGCUUGUAAACCAGUGAAAUUGAACUGCUUAUUAUGUGAUUCAUUUGCUACUUAUGUGAUUCACUGAUUGCUAGAUGGACAUAAUGAACCCGGUGACCACUACUUCUCUUUAUUAUUUUCACUAUUGUAAUUUCCUUUGCUGUUUGUAAUCUUUCUUAAUUGUUAGAUAUAUUGGCACAAUGAUAUUUUGCUACUAUUAUUGAUGUAUGGUCAUUGAUAUUGCCAUUUUACAGUACAUUGUUGCUUUGUUAUAUUGCUUUGGCCAAUUUUUUUUUACAAGAAUACCCAGGAGCAAAUUCCUGGCUCCGCCACUGCCUUGACUGCAGAACCUAACGAAAGGGGUGCCUCCCCAGGAGGAUCUCGUGGAUGCUGGUGGGAUGGGCGGUUGAGGUUGAGGGAGGCUCGUGGGCUGGAGCAGCAGGACGAGAAGCUCGAGGUGGUUCCGGCCUUCCGGGUUUGCCUCCAUACCCCCUCUAUCUCCCUCUGCCCUCACUCAUGUUUCCUCCCUUUCUCAUGGAUGAAGCUGUCGGCUGCAGGGGCGUUGCAAGGAGUGAAGGUAGGGGUCACGUCGACCGGAGCAGCAGGAGCAAGGAUCUGACAGCCUCUGCCUCCCCGUUGCACGCCACCACUGCAUCUCCUUCCUGUUGAGCUAUAGGUUGGCUUGAUCUCUUGUGUCAGGGAGGUGCGAGGUUGGGUAUGUUGGCAAUGGCAGCCACGGUUUCAGCGAAGGGCGCCCAUGCCAUGUGCAAUGACAGCAGCAUUGUCACUGGGAUAUGCCAUUAGCAUGACACAGGUGCCUUAGUGUGUGUUCUGCUCUAGGUUGUGCAGGACAAGUGGUUGAUCCAUAGCUUCUUUGUGUAAGGAAAAUUUUGCAGACUAACUUUCUAACCAUGUAAUAGUUUUGUAUAAAGUAUUGCUAAUUUACAUAACUUCUAUUCAAGUCCUAUCUAGAUUGAAAUCUUAAUCUUGCAUUUUGUUUCUGACGUAAUCUAUGUGGCUGCUCCAUCGACGAUGACGAAAUCAUCCACUAGGUACCUUCAAAACAUCUUACUUCAUACACCUCCUCGGUUCAGUUAAUUUGCAAUCAGUUUGAAGUCACAACUACAAGUUUCUAAAAAUCGUUGGAAUAAUGGUGCUUUCCUAGGAAAGGAGGCAUGUUGUGGUGAAGCACGAUACACACUCAG
rnacentral:lncRNA from 1 species